ACUCCAAAACAUUCAUAAUUAAGUGUGAAAUACUAUUCCAAUGAUGUUGCUAAAGCAUUCUUUUGUGCUCGCUAUUCUCAUUAUGGUGGCAACUACAAAGGUGGUCCUCUUGACAAACACAAAAGUCGAAGCUGCACUGGAUGUUGAUCAUAAUCUCUUAGGAAUGAGGAAGAGAUUACUCCCACAACUCAAUACUUGUUUUAGAUCUUGUAAAUCUAGCUUGGAUUGCAACGAUUGUUGGGUUUGUUGCGCUUGUGGAUUCUCUGCUACACUUGGUGGCCCUAUGUGUCUGACAUUUGAUUAGUGUGUAGUGGAGACAGGCUCUUCUACACAUCUCCAUUAUACAGUUGGGUUUCUGUGUUGUUUAAUGUGUUCUUCAGUUGCUUGUCUUCCAUAAUUUAUAUGUAUAAUAAGGAAAGUCAAGUGAACAACUCUUUAUUUUAAAAUUACAAUAAACUCCACUACAAAAGUUGGCUGGGUAAGAAAUUGUAUGAUUCAUCAUGCAUUUACCUUAUUAAUAAAAUUAUGCAUAUGUAAUUUAUGUUUGUUUUUA